UGAAUGGGAAAACAGAAGCUGCAACUUUUGGUUCUGUUGUUAAAAGUAAAGCGCCAGCUGUUACUGCUUUUGGUACUGAACUAACACCGACUCGGACAAGUAAAAACGCAUCGGCAACAUCAAAAGCAGGCGCAAAAUUUGGUUUCGAACAUGAUAUAAUUUACAUUGCGGUUAUAAUAGUGUUGGCGAUCAUUGCAGU